rnacentral:tRNA from 1 species
UCCCUGGUGGCUCAGACGGUAAAGCGUCUGCCUGCAAUGCGGGAGACCCGGGUUCGAUUCCUGGGCUGGGAA